CCGCUCGUCGCCGCCACCUCGGCCGCGGCAGCUGAGCCUGUGACGAGGAGUCGGCGGCUCGGCGAGCCCCCCGGGCUGCGGGAUCUGGGGUUUAUUUUAGUCCGGCGCCAGGUUUACGACAGACUCGGGGGGCGGAGCAACAUCCCAAACGAGCAAACAAUGGUCAUUGACAUCUUUUUCUCUCGCCCCCCCAACCCCCGCCCCAUAAUGGAGGCAAAAAAAGGUCUUUUAUGAACUUGAAACACAUCGGCUAGGUCUUCAUCCUCACCUGCACUGGAAUUACCUACUUAAGAAAAACAAACUAAUGAUACACAAAGAAGCACUUAUAAUGUUUCUGUCAUCCUUCAAGAGGUCUGAAUAGAUCAUGGAACCAUGUUCAAG
rnacentral:lncRNA from 10 species